AUGCCAAUUACAGGAUUUCCACUGGGCCACCAGGGGAAGAGCUCUCCUUGGGUGAUGGAAAAAAAGGGGACUCUUCAUGUGUCAGAGCCCUGUGCAACACUGAAGGGAUAUGUGCGUGAAAGGAGGAGGAGUGCCACUGGGCUCUACAGCUCCAGGACCUUCUGGGGGCUGAUGUGCCAAGUGUCUCCAACGACUUUACUUUGGGGGCAGGGACGGGGGGGCGACUUCAUGAGAGUGGCAGAUAAAUGGCUAUGGAAUUGAGUAAAGAGCAUAAAAGCAUGCAAUUCACAGUUGAAAUAAUGCAAUUCCUAGGAAAUGAGAUGUAAGAGAAUAUGUAAAAUGGAAGGACCCCAGCGCACGCGCAGCAGCAAGAGGCCCGCCCAGUAAGAUUAGAUUCGCGGACAGGAAAAUGAAAUGUUUUCCCCGGCGAAAGAGUGGAGCUUUGGGAGAUCGUGGAGAGACAACCUAAAGUAACGUUUCUUGUUUAAGAAAACAAGAAAAAACAGCUCAUAAGCAGCCCAUUUGGGAGAUUUCUGUGGUUUCCUGGCGUUGACCUCGUCCCACCCGCUCCACCUGCCCUAUACUCUAAAAGCCGCGCUGUUCCCAUGGGAGAUAAGUUACAGGCGCCCGAGGCUGUUUGCCGUAACCAGCUUCGCCCUCUCCCUGUUUUCUCACCCAGAUCUCUACUCCUACAGCUCUUCCUUGCCCUUUCCCCAAAUUUCUCCAGUAGAGUGCAAGCUAGCUUGUCCUGUCCCUGAUCUAUUAAGACCCUGGACUGUCUCAAUCAAAUGCUCAACUCCCACAAAAACCAUUGCAGAGGAGACGAUCACCGGCUUCCCACGUGCAAUCCUCAGCUCGCAGUGACCUCUGAGAACAGCAUUUCCUUUUUUUUUUUUUUUCAGCUUGAACAGGCAUCGUAAGACUCUGACAUGUAUAUGUAUAAGGGGAUCUUCUUGUCCAUUGUUCUUUGGGGGGCGGGUAUAGUAUUCAAUUCGGGGAAGAAUUACUUUCAGUAAGAGAAGAAUUAUUUGGUUUCCUCUAGAUUGGCACUUGAGUAUUCUGAGGAGUGUGGCAACAUCCUCUCCACCCCAGUGUUGGUAUUUUCCUCUAUUAUAAAUUGUUCUAUUCCCAUAAAGGGAAGAAAGGAAGGGGAAGGGUUAUAGGAGAAGGCAUGGCAAGUUUUAUUAAUUGAAUUAGGAGUAACUUACCUCUAAAGGCAUGGUAGUUCUAUAGAGUACACACUGUAAAAGUCAAGCAGGUUUGUUGGAGCACACUUUGUUUUGUGUAUGUUUUCACGUGUAUGUGCGUGAGUGUACGUGCAUUUGGUGACUACAGGUCAUUGUCUGGCCUGCCCCUCAAUUGCUCUAUACCUCCCCCCUGCUUGUUAUUUGAGAUGGUUUCUUAUUGGCUAUAGAAGUUAAAGAUAUCUGAACAGGCUGGCCAGAAUUCUGCACAAGGAAUCCCCCUGACGUCACCUGCCCGUGCUCGGACCAUCACACAGCUGUGCCUGCUUUUUACAUGGGUGUGUGGUAUUGCUUGAACAGCAAGUACUUAACCAAAUGAGCCUUCACCCAGCCCCUCCAACUCCUUUUCUUUUCUUUGUUUGUUCAAAAGUAAUACUUUUUCUUUUCAUUAAAUAUUUUUUUAAAUUCUUCUCUUAUACAAUGCAUCUUGACUGUAGUUUCCCCUCCCUCUACUCCUCCCAGUCCUCUCCCACCCUGCCCUGUUCCCCACAUCCAGGGCUCCUCCAUUUUUCCCCUUUAGAGAAGAGCAGGCUUCCCCGGGAUAUCAGCUGAGCAUGGUAGAACAAGAAAUAAUAAGACUCAGCGCAAGCCCUCAUAUCAAUGAGGGACAAGGCACCCCAGUAGGAAGAAAAGGGUCCCAAGGGCAGGCUUAAGAGUCAGAUACGCCCAUCACUCCCGCUGUUAGGAGUCCAGCAAAAACCCUAAGCUACACAACCAUAAGGUAUGUGCAGAGAACCUAACGCAGACCAGUGCGGGGUCGUGGUUGUUAUUUCAGUCUCUGUGAGCCCCUAUGAGCUCUGCUUAGUUAAUUUGCGAGCCAUGUUCUCAUGGCAUCCUCAACUCCUCUGGCUCCUACAGUCCUCUCCAGGGGGGGGCACCCCCUCCACCACCCCACCCCACCCCUGCUUCUGUUAGUGAAUGUUUGACGGUGGUUCUCUUCAUCUGCUCCCAUCAGCUGCCAGAGGAAGCCUCUCUGAUGAUGACUGGGUGAGGCAUUGAUGUAGG
rnacentral:lncRNA from 1 species